AGAGAGCACCUGCUGUCGGGCUAGCAGAAGGCAGAAGCCAGCACCAUCUUAAGGGUGUGGCACUUUGCAGCUCUCUACAAGAAACAAUAGCUGAGAUCAGAACAUCUUGUGUAUGCUGACGAUUUAUGCUAGGUACUAGUUCCAGCCUCAGACUGGCCUUGCCAAGUCUCUUUCUAUACAACGACACAGAAGAAAUUGCCAGUUGUCCAUCUAUCAGAUCUCUGAGAAAGACUUGGGUUGGUCUGGCUCCCCACAGGAAGAAAAAUCUGCAGAGUAAAGAGUGCUGCAUGGUCUUGUCAUUUAGGCUCUGAUUUGCCUCAGUAAGCUGGAGGGCUCCUCCUGGGCAAGGACCAACUUAGCCAUGUAUGUGACUGCGUCUUGGAAAUCAAUGCAGAGCUACUGAAGAAAUACUUCCUCUAUUCCUUGUGACAAGAAGCCUCUACCACAACCUUGAGCAAGAGUUGCAGAAGCUUUGUGAAAAGUGAAAGGCCAGUAUUUACUUUUGGUGCUGAAAGUGAGUCCUAAAGCUAUGGACAAUUCCUUCUACUGAUGAAGUGUAUGCUUCAUUGUGAACCUAGUAAGUUUGAAAAAUACAGAACUGAGACCAGGACACAGUUUGUGUUGUGGAUGUUGUUUCUGUUCUUCACCAUUUUGGAAAUUUGAUUUGAUGGUUAACAUAGUUAUGGAUUUGGGCUGUCAACUAUCUUAAACUAUGUUCUAGUGGGAGGUCACUUCUGGCUGUUCAUUUGGAGGGAUUAUCAUUAUUUAAUUUACACAAUGAACAGACUUAAGAAGAAGAAUGUAGAAUCAACAUUGUAUUUUUUGAUUGAAUUGAUAAGGUCUCUUUCUACAAAUUUUCCUGUCUGACAAAGGAAAGCAAAUGACAUUGUGUCACCGAACAUUGCUCUCCAUUUAAGCUCUGCUUGCCUGGAUUACAAUUUCACUCAGUUUUGAUUUGUUGCCUAUUUCUGAAUCAAUGACAUAUAUUUCUUAAUCUUUAUGACUAUGUAUUUACUGUACAAAUCAGGACACUAAACUAUGUUUAUAGUAAAGUUCAAAUGAAACACAGAAUUUGAAAGUAAACAGUUAAAAUAAAGGAGUUAAAGACUA